AGCUGUGAUGACAAACCAAAAUGGAUGGCAGGGUCCAUCCUAUCGUCUGAUAAGUUGAGAUGACAGCAAGUGCCGUCUGAGCU